GGCUCAGGACGAACGCUGGCGGCGUGCCUAAUACAUGCAAGUCGAACGGUCUUUCUAUGGAAGCUUGCUUCCACUGAGAAGAUAGUGGCGAACGGGUGAGUAACACGUGGGUAACCUGCCCAUAAGAGGGGGGAUAACAUCCGGAAACGGGUGCUAAUACCGCAUAGUUUUCUUGAUCGCAUGAUUGGGAAAGGAAAGACGGCCUUUGUGCUGUCGCUUAUGGAUGGACCCGCGGCGUAUUAGUUAGUUGGUGAGGUAACGGCUCACCAAGACGAUGAUACGUAGCCGACCUGAGAGGGUGAUCGGCCACAUUGGGACUGAGACACGGCCCAAACUCCUACGGGAGGCAGCAGUAGGGAAUCUUCCGCAAUGGACGAAAGUCUGACGGAGCAACGCCGCGUGAGUGAAGAAAGGUUUUCGGAUCGUAAAACUCUGUUGUCAGAGAAGAACAAGUUGGAGAGUAACUGCUCCAGCCUUGACGGUAUCUGACCAGAAAGCCACGGCUAACUACGUGCCAGCCGCCGC
rnacentral:rRNA from 1 species